rnacentral:rRNA from 1 species
UACGUAGGUGGCAAGCGUUGUCCGGAUUUACUGGGCGUAAAGGGCGUGCAGGCGGUUUGUUAAGUUCAGGGUGAAAGCUCCCGGCUCAACUGGGAGAGGUCCUUGGAUACUGGCAGACUUGAGGAGGGUAGAGGAGAGUGGAAUUCCCGGUGUAGUGGUGAUAUGCGUAGAUAUCGGGAGGAACACCAGUGGCGAAGGCGGUUGCCUGGAGCUUUGCUGACGCUGAUGCGCGAAAGCGUGGGGAGCGAUCCGG